GGCAAGGUGGCCGAGCGGUCUAAGGCGCGCGGUUAAGGCUUUCCAAUAAUUCGGAUCCUUUAUCUUGAUAUCUCAAGUUUCCGCGUCAUUAAUUUGGCGUGGGUUCGAAUCCCACCCUUGUCA